GGACUGUAGCUCAGUGGUAGCGUACUUGCCUGACUUGUGUGAGGCACUGGGUUCGAUUCUCAGCACCG
rnacentral:tRNA from 1 species